rnacentral:piRNA from 1 species
UAUAAUUGUUACAUUAGGAGA